rnacentral:rRNA from 1 species
GAUCCUGGCUCAGGAUGAACGCUAGCGACAGGCUUAACACAUGCAAGUCGAGGGGCAGCGGGGGUAGCAAUACCCGCCGGCGACCGGCGCACGGGUGAGUAACGCGUAUGCAACUUACCUAUCAGAGGGGGAUAACCCGGCGAAAGUCGGACUAAUACCGCAUGAAGCAGGGGCCCCGCAUGGGGAGUAUUUGCUAAAGAUUCAUCGCUGAUAGAUAGGCAUGCGUUCCAUUAGGCUGUUGGG